AUUGAACGCUGGCGGCAUGCUUUACACAUGCAAGUCGAACGGUAACAGGCCGCCAGGUGCUGACGAGUGGCGCACGGGUGCGUAAUGCAUCGGAACGUGCCCAGACGUGGGGGAUAACUCAGCGAAAGAUUAGCUAAUACCGCAUACGAUCUAUGGAUGAAAGCGGGGGACCGUACGGCCACGUGUGGUCUCACGGCUCUGGAGUGGCCGAUGUAAGAUUAGGUAGUUGGUGGGGUAAAGGCACACCAAGCCAACGAUCUGUAGCUGGUCUGAGAGGACGACCAGCCACACUGGGACUGAGACACGGCCCAGACUCCUACGGGAGGCAGCAGUGGGGAAUUUUGGACAAUGGGCGCAAGCCUGAUCCAGCAAUGCCGCGUGCAGGAAGAAGGCCUUCGGGUUGUAAACUGCUUUUGUACGGAACGAAAAGGCUCUGGUUAAUACCCGGGGCUAAUGACGGUACCGUAAGAAUAAGCACCGGCUAACUACGUG
rnacentral:rRNA from 1 species